rnacentral:rRNA from 1 species
GACUGCGUACCUUUUGUAUAAUGGGUCAGCGACUUAUAUUUAGUAGCAAGGUUAAGUGAAUAACGGAGCCGUAGCGAAAGCGAGUGUUAACUGCGCGUUUAGUUGCUAGGUAUAGACCCGAAACCCGGUGAUCUAGCCAUGAGCAGGUUGAAGGUUGAGUAACAUCAACUGGAGGACCGAACCCACUAACGUUGAAAAGUUAGGGGAUGACUUGUGGCUGGGGGUGAAAGGCCAAUCAAACCGGGAGAUAGCUGGUUCUCCCCGAAAGCUAUUUAGGUAGCGCCUCGGAUGAAUUCCUUUGGGGGUAGAGCACUGUUUGGGCUAGGGGGUCAUCCCGACUUACCAACCCCAUGCAAACUCCGAAUACCGUAGAGUACUAUCCGGGAGACACACGGCGGGGGCUAACGUCCGUCGUGAAAAGGGAAACAACCCUGACCUCCAGCUAAGGCCCCUAAUUCAUGGCUAAGUGGGAAAGCAGGUGGGACGACCAAAACAACCAGGAGGUUGGCUUAGAAGCAGCCACCCUUUAAAGAAAGCGUAAUAGCUCACUAGUCGAGU